rnacentral:rRNA from 1 species
UACGGGGGGGGCAAGCGUUGCUCGGAAUUACUGGGCGUAAAGGGCUCGUAGGCGGCCAACUAAGUCAGACGUGAAAUCCCUCGGCUUAACCGGGGAACUGCAUCUGAUACUGGAUGGCUUGAGUUCGGGAGAAGGAUGUGGAAUUCCAGGUGUAGCGGUGAAAUGCGUAGAUAUCUGGAGGAACACCGGUGGCGAAGGCGGCAUCCUGGACCGACACUGACGCUGAGGAGCGAAAGCCAGGGGAGCAAACAGG